ACAGCAGUCGCCACGGGAAUACGUAGGGGGCAAGCGUUAUCCGGAAUUACUGGGCGUAAAGGGUGCGUAGGCGGCUUGUUAAGUCAAGGUUAAAAGGCAGCAGCUCAACUGCUGUUCGGCCUUGAAACUAAUAAGCUUGAGUAUAGGAGAGGAAAGUGGAAUUCCCAGUGUAGCGGUGAAAUGCGUAGAUAUUGGGAGGAAUACCGGUGGCGAAGGCGACUUUCUGGACUAAAACUGACGCUGAGGUACGAAAGUGUGGGUAGCAAACAGGAUUAGAUACCCCAGUAGUCCCUGUCUCUUAUACA
rnacentral:rRNA from 1 species